CCCUUAGAUGUUCUGGGCCGCACGCGCGCUACACUGACGAAGUCAGCGAGCAUGUCCUACGCCGACAGGUGCGGGGAAUCUUGUCAAACUUCGUCGUGAUGGGGAUUGAUUAUUGAAAUUCUUGAUCAUCAACGAGGAAUUCCUAGUAAGCGCAAGUCAGCAGCUUGCGUUGAUUACGUCCCUGCCCUUUGUACACACCGCCCGUCGCUACUACCGAUUGAAUGGGUUAGUGAGAUCUUCGGAUUGGCGCCACUGCGGCUCAGCAAUGGGCUCGGUGGAUGCCGAAAAGUUGAUCAAACUUGAUCAUUUAGAGGAAGUAAAAGUCGUAACA
rnacentral:rRNA from 1 species